AAGCCCGCGUCCGAGAAGAAGUCCAUCUCCUUCGAGGACGAGCAGCCCGGCUACGAGCCGAAGCCCCGCCCAUCGACGCCAUCGCUGACGUCAUCACCACCGACGUCGACGUCGUCCCCGAGCGGAGGCGCAUGACCGCCAAGGAGAGGUGGCUCUGGGCCUACAGCAAGAUCCUACAUCAGCUAAACGUGAGUAAUUCAGUUCCAUGUUUCGUAGUCCACACUUUAUGCGAUCUCUUUCCACUUUUCACUCAAGUUUAAAUGGUAGAUCAAUCGAUACAUCGGAAAUCACGCCACGCCGCCAGUGAAAGUUGCGUGUCGGAGCGUGGCAGCAGGACCGGCAUCUCGCAUCUCGCAACAGGUGUUUAGCUUCAUCCCCGCUACAGGACAGGAACAAGGGCGCUGAGACGUGAGGGUGGAAGACCCUGGACCCUGUUUUUCGCCGCCCUCCCAUUUUCUCCUCGAACGCGUUGCUGAUGUGAUCGAC
rnacentral:lncRNA from 1 species